UACGAAGGGGGCUAGCGUUGCUCGGAAUCACUGGGCGUAAAGGGCGCGUAGGCGGACUCUUAAGUCGGGGGGUGAAAGCCCAGGGCUCAACCCUGGAAUUGCCUUCGAUACUGAGAGUCUUGAGUUCGGAAGAGGUUGGUGGAACUGCGAGUGUAGAGGUGAAAUUCGUAGAUAUUCGCAAGAACACCAGUGGCGAAGGCGGACCAACUGGUGCCGAUACGUGACGCUGAGGCGCGAAAGCGUGGGUAGCGAACAGG
rnacentral:rRNA from 1 species